rnacentral:rRNA from 1 species
AGAGUUUGAUCCUGGCUCAGGACGAACGCUGGCGGCACGCUUAACACAUGCAAGUCGAACGAGAGAAGAGGAGCUUGCUUUUCUGAUCUAGUGGCGGACGGGUGAGUAACACGUGAGCAAUCUGCCUUUCAGAGGGGGAUACCGAUUGGAAACGAUCGUUAAUACCGCAUAACAUAAUUGAACCGCAUGACUUGAUUAUCAAAGAUUUAUCGCUGAAAGAUGAGCUCGCGUCUGAUUAGCUAGUUGGUGAGGUAACGGCUUACCAAGGCGACGAUCAGUAGCCGGACUGAGAAGUUGAUCGGCCACAUUGGGACUGAGACACGGCCCAGACUCCUACGGGAGGCAGCAGUGGGGAAUAUUGCACAAUGGAGGAAACUCUGAUGCAGCGAUGCCGCGUGAGGGAAGAAGGUUUUAGGAUUGUAAACCUCUGUCUUCAGGGACGAAAAAAGACGGUACCUGAGGAGGAAGCUCCGGCUAACUACGUGCCAGCAGCCGCGGUAAUACGUAGGGAGCGAGCGUUGUCCGGAAUUACUGGGUGUAAAGGGAGCGUAGGCGGGAUCGCAAGUCAGAUGUGAAAACUAUGGGCUUAACCCAUAAACUGCAUUUGAAACUGUGGUUCUUGAGUGAAGUAGAGGUAAGCGGAAUUCCUAGUGUAGCGGUGAAAUGCGUAGAUAUUAGGAGGAACAUCAGUGGCGAAGGCGGCUUACUGGGCUUUAACUGACGCUGAGGCUCGAAAGCGUGGGGAGCAAACAGGAUUAGAUACCCUGGUAGUCCACGCCGUAAACGAUGAUUACUAGGUGUGGGGGGACUGACCCCUUCCGUGCCGCAGCAAACGCAAUAAGUAAUCCACCUGGGGAGUACGACCGCAAGGUUGAAACUCAAAGGAAUUGACGGGGGCCCGCACAAGCAGUGGAGUAUGUGGAUUAAUUCGAAGCAACGCGAAGAACCUUACCAGGUCUUGACAUCGUAUGCAUAGCUCAGAGAUGAGUGAAAUCUCUUCGGAGACAUAUAGACAGGUGGUGCAUGGUUGUCGUCAGCUCGUGUCGUGAGAUGUUGGGUUAAGUCCCGCAACGAGCGCAACCCUUACUGUUAGUUGCUACGCAAGAGCACUCUAGCAGGACUGCCGUUGACAAAACGGAGGAAGGUGGGGAUGACGUCAAAUCAUCAUGCCCCUUAUGACCUGGGCCUCACACGUACUACAAUGGCUGUCAACAGAGGGAAGCAAAGCCGCGAGGUGGAGCGAACCCCUAAAAGCAGUCUUAGUUCGGAUUGUAGGCUGCAACCCGCCUACAUGAAGUCGGAAUUGCUAGUAAUCGCAGAUCAGCAUGCUGCGGUGAAUACGUUCCCGGGCCUUGUACACACCGCCCGUCACGCCAUGGGAGUCGGUAACACCCGAAGCCUGUAGUCUAACCGCAAGGAGGACGCAGUCGAAGGUGGGAUUGAUGACUGGGGUGAAGUCGUAACAAGGUA